rnacentral:rRNA from 1 species
CAGUAGCCGCGGUAAUACGUAGGUGGCAAGCGUUGUCCGGAAUUAUUGGGCGUAAAGGGCUCGCAGGCGGUUUCUUAAGUCUGAUGUGAAAGCCCCCGGCUCAACUGGGGAGGGACAUUGGAAACUGGGAAACUUGAGUGCAGAAGAGGAGAGUGGAAUUCCACGUGUAGCGGUGAAAUGCGUAGAGAUGUGGAGGAACACCAGUGGCGAAGGCGACUCUCUGGUCUGUAACUGACGCUGAGGAGCGAAAGCGUGGGGAGCGAACAGGAUUAGAUACCCCAGUAGUCCCUGUCUCUUAUAC